GGUGCUGAAGUUAAUGAAGGGGAGGUGAGGAGAAGACACUAUAGAGGAGUUCGACAAAGGCCAUGGGGUAAAUGGGCAGCUGAGAUAAGAGAUCCCAAGAAGGCUGCUCGAGUGUGGCUCGGCACAUUCGACACCGCUGAGGGUGCGGCCAUUGCCUACGACGAGGCAGCGCUCCGCUUCAAAGGCAACAAAGCAAAGCUCAAUUUCCCCGAAAGAAUACAAGGCAGGACGGACCUCGGCUUGUUGAGCCGGGGGAUCGGUGACAACCGCCCAUGGCCUCCACCGGAGAAUGCUUCACCGCCGGUGGCUUCAUAUCCAAACUUGAUGGAUUAUGCCAAACUUCUACAGAGUGGAGAUGAUCAAGACUUGCAGAAUGUUGCCUCGGGGUUUUACGGCGGUGAUCAGUCUCUGUCUGGC
rnacentral:misc_RNA from 1 species